GCAAACAAAAGUGAAAAUAUCAGUGAGGAGAAUCCCUACAAAAGAUUGAGAAGCCAUUGAUAAAAUAUCCAAGGAUCAAAAUGAGUUUCUCUUGCCAAUAUAUCUUUUGACUCUUUUGAUAAUUCGACAUAUUACUCCAACAUUAAUAAAUAAUUAAAACAAAAAGAGAAAUGUUAAUAAUCUUUAUAGAAAUCUUAAGAGGCAAUUAACUAUUUUGGUUCUUGAAGUCAUCUCAU
rnacentral:misc_RNA from 1 species